GGCAGGAUGGCCGAGUUGGUUAUGGCGCCAGGUUAAGGUUUACCUUAAUACUAAUCUCCUGGUUCGGGAAACUGAGCGUGGGUUCAAGUCCCACUCCUGUCA
rnacentral:tRNA from 1 species